rnacentral:rRNA from 1 species
UCCCAGACUCCUACGGGAGGCAGCAGUGGGGAAUAUUGCACAAUGGGGGAAACCCUGAUGCAGCGACGCCGCGUGAGUGAAGAAGUAUUUCGGUAUGUAAAGCUCUAUCAGCAGGGAAGAAAAUGACGGUACCUGACUAAGAAGCCCCGGCUAACUACGUGCCAGCAGCCGCGGUAAUACGUAGGGGGCAAGCGUUAUCCGGAUUUACUGGGUGUAAAGGGAGCGUAGACGGCAUGGCAAGUCAGAUGUGAAAGCCCGGGGCUCAACCCCGGGACUGCAUUUGAAACUGUCAGGCUGGAGUGCAGGAGAGGUAAGUGGAAUUCCUAGUGUAGCGGUGAAAUGCGUAGAUAUUAGGAGGAACACCAGUGGCGAAGGCGGCUUACCGGACUGUAACUGACGUUGAGGCUCGAAAGCGUGGGGAGCAAACAGGAUUAGAUACCCCAGUAC